ACAUAUUUUAUAUACUCUUUAUGACUCUGUACUUGAUGCACUUUCAUCUUAAGAAAUAAAGAUAGAACAAGUCAACUUUAAAAUUGCUUUUCAUAACCUAUUUUCCUUAAACUACAUCUUCAUCCCUGUCCCAUCUAUAGGGUUCAAAGAUAGUUACUCUAAUCCUCAUUUCCAUUGGGCCUAACUCUUUAUUCACUUCAUACCAGAGAAGUGGUUGUUGGACUUUCUCAAUCUUGAGUUUAUCUAGUUUUGCUGUGAUUCCUGCCACAGAGUACGAAUUUUUGUUGUAAGGCUUCUAUAUAGACAUUUUAAUUCCUGGAACAACUCACAUCAGAAGAGGUUGAAUAUUUCCUUCUGUUUCUCUUGAAAAACAGUGGUCAUAGUGCCUGUGGCUUGUGAAGUUUUAUGGGAAGCUGUGAAGAGAGGCUGUAGUAUGAAAGGAUGCUGAUUAAAAUCCUACAUACAUUAUGUAUGAAUCUGCACUUUUUGUGACCUCCUCUCCUGGAACUGUCCCAAUCCAGAUUACCCCAGGCUGAGCUGUGAAACGCAGAAAACUGCAAACCUCUUUAAUUGGGGAAUUAGGAAGUUUCAAAACACCAGGGCAGGGAAGCUUGUCAAGGCUUUAAGUUUCACAAAUGUAUAAGCCAAGUUCUUGUGCAAAUGCCAUGCUCUACCCUGAGCAAGCAAGAGAGCUGCCACCACUACUGAGUAUGUCAGCCUGGAAACCUGUCAAGAGUAGGGAUUGAGGGCCCUUACAUUGCAGUCCUUAUGAACCCAGUGAAAUUAGGAAAAUUCUAAACGCAUGGAAUAGUGUUCUUUGAACUUAUAAAAGAUAGAUUUUCUACUUAUCAGCCUUAGCAAACACAAAUGAAGAGGUGUUUAAUAUAAAGAAAGGAUAGGAGAAACAUAGAGAGAACAGAUGCUUUUUUUCAGGCACAUUUAAAAUUUUCAGAACCAGCUGGUUUGGAAUUCUGGAAGAAGCUUUAAUCUUUUGAUCUGGUAAAAGGCAACUUGAAAGGUAUAGAGACAAAAAGGGCUGCAUGUCUUCUCUAAUAGCUGAAAGUUCCCAUUUGGUGACAAGGGGAUGGUUUAAAUCAGGCAAGGCAUGCAACAAUAAAUUACUGAACCACCCACAAUCUCUACUCAGCUUCCUGCGCCAGGAGUUCAGGCUGGCAGGUGCCCUUGCUCUCGGAGAACAACUCAGAGAAGGUCCAGCUAAGGUAGAGGUUUGGAAGUGGUAGUAGAGGCAGGGAAGCAAGGUGCCAAGGCUUGUUCCAUAUAAACAUGCCUCCCCACUUGGGGCAAUAGAGAACUUUCCUUGGAGACCUGAAUACAUAUGAAUCAAAGACAAACAUCAAAUCUCUGAGAAUACAAUUUGGAAAAACACAUUUUGGCUUUUCUACAGAUUCAAAGCAUAUCUGACCCAAUUCCUAACAUCAUUAUAUAUUCUGUAAUCAUUACCUGUCUGAAUUUUAUAUGCACUUUAUAUUCUGUUAUAGGCAUUAGCUUAGCAAAAGGAUUCAUGGAGAAAUUCAUUCCAUCUUUUUCUUCAGUAAUAAUUGCUGAAAAUGCCAGGUGUUCUACAAGGUGGUCAAGAGAAAAACUGAUCAACCCUGUUCCUCUCUGAAAUAAUUAAAAAUUUAGUGGCAAAAUCACAAACACAAAAAUAAUUAAGGGUUCUAGAUAAAUGUUAUUGACUCAUUCCUCAAAUCCUUUUAAAAUGAUAAUAAAGAAUUAGAGAUGUUAAGCCACAGGGGCAAAAAGUGUAGGAGAAGAGACAACAGUAAGUGAUCAAAGAAUUGGAAUAAAAGCAGAUAGUGAGGUGGCUUUAGAGGAAAAGGAGUAAUUACAACUCGAGAUCCUGCUGAGUUGAAAGGAUGGGAGAGAUUUGCCCACACAUUGUUACUAAUGCAUACUGGGGACUGAAUGAUAGGAACACUGGUCAUAGUUACUGACCCUACUUUAAAUUCAUGACCACCAGCCACUACUUGGAAAUUUUCAGUGCUGUUGGCCUUGGAUGGUGGCUAACUGUACACCAAAUGAAUUCCACUUAUUCUAGUCACAGUGGAGAAUGUAGGGAAGCAUAUGAGAAGGUUCUGUGAUUGGUUUGCAUGGCAGAAGGUACCUGGUUCUAUUUGUGUCUAAACUGAAGUCAUCUGAUUUGGUUUUCAUCUUCCAUUGUCCCCUGUGUUAGGCUUGGUUACAGCAAGGCUGAAAAAAGAAGAAAAGAAAGAAAGAAAGAAAGAAAGAAAGAAAGAAAGAAAGAAAGAAAGAAAGAAAGAAAGAAAGAAAGAAAGAAAGAAAGAAAGAAAGAAAGAAAGAAAGAAAGAAAGAAAGAAAGAAAGAAAGAAAGAAAGAAAGAAAGAAAGAAAGAAAGAAAGAAAGAGAAAGAAAGAGAGAAAGAGAGAAAGAAAGAGAGAGAAAGAAAGAGAGAAAGAAGGAACUGUGGAAAAACAUGCUUUCUUGUUUGCAUAAAAUAAUUAGCUGAGCACAAAUGGGAAGCAAACCAAAUAGUUAGGGAGUUCCUGUUGUUUGCCUCCUUUCCAAUUCUGGACUGUAGUUUCCAAAAGCAACAGGAAGGCAGUUUUGCCCCAAGAAUUUUCAAACCACAUAAACCACUCCAAAUUCCCUUUGAUAUGGCCCAGCUCUCCAAUGUUUUCCAAGAACUCAGCUCAGCUUGCUUUGCUUCUGGACGUCAUGAAGCACAGCAGGUCUAAAUGGAAAGGUAAGUUCUCAACCCCAUGAUCCCAUGGAAGCCUCUGAGCCCGUCAGAUAAAGGACCCAGAGUUAGUUUUACUUGGAAUUUUCCCUUGUAACCCCAACCAUAAAAUGUUGAGUUGUGCAACUAGAGCUGGUCAGUGGGUGGAGUUUCCAUUCCUGCUUUUUUUGGCUAAUUCAAUGAGAAACAGAUUCAAUAUUCACAGCUCUGCCCCCAGUCAUUUUUGCAGAAGCCAAAAUUUGUCAGGUUGUCCAUAGAGACACAUGUAAUUUUACCAAAUAUCUGUGGGAAACUUUCCAAAUAUGUAGAGGUGAUAUGAGCACCAGAUCCAAAUUGGCAUUAAAAUAUAUUUUUAUCAAUUAGUGUAUGUUUUCUUAUUCUUUACUAGUUUAGUUAUUUGGAAAGAUGAAGAAAAAUAUUGGGAAUGUAUAAUUGAUGGUAUUGAUGAUUAACUAAUAGGAUGCAUGUAACAAGGAAAGGGAGGAGAUUGAAUUCUCAGGUUUCUAAUUAGAAUGUUCUGGUAGGUGGUGGAAUUAGUGACGUAGAGAAAAUUCUAAGAUGAAUAUACUGGAGUGAAAGAUACUACAUUAUUGAGGACAUUUGUUCUUGUAGUAUGGGAGGAACAUUUGAAUGGUUAGAGUACAGAGAGGAAUAUGCUGGUUGGGGCUUAGGACAGCUAUGACCUGGAGGCCCUCUGCCAGCAUGUGGUGAUGAAUACCACCAUCUUGUGGUGUAGGUGAGAUAGGGAGCAGAUGAGACAGUCUGGGGCUAAUGAGAAGGGCAAGUGGCAAUGUAGAGUUGGGCAAGUGAAAAGGAAUUCAUAAAGGAACAUCUAGAGAAGUAGGAUGGAACCUCAAGGGGAAAUGAGAAAAUGAAGCAGGUCAGUAGAGACAUUUCCAAGAAAUUAAUUGUGAAAGGAAUGAGCAACAUGGCAGGGCUAUGUAAGUGGAACUGAUUGAAGAGAGAGGAUGGGAACUUCUCUAUCCAGUUGCCUUUUAUAAAGGAAAGUAACAAACACUGUGGAUAAUUAUAUGGCAACAGGCUCAGCUCUUAGAAAAAAUACAACCUUGUUUAAAUCCAGCAUUCUGCACACUACACAUCAACACCCUUGCAGCUUAGCAUUGUUAGAGAAAAACACAGAAUUGUAGUGAUGGCUUUCAUUUUAGUCUCAAGUGGAAUCAUAAUUCAGCCCACUUACAUUCCUAACUUGAUUACUCUCCCUUUCUCUUCAAUGGCUAUUCAAUAUCUUCUUGUCCCUCAAAAACCCUGCAGUCCCUUCUCCUCCACCCUCAUACCAGGUGAUGAGCUGACUUCAUGUUUCACUGAAGAAAGAAAACAACUUGAGAGGAAUCUACACGAACCGCAGACCACACCUCCUUAUGGGUGUAUGUCCUCGGCCUUCAUCCUGGUUAUUCCAGAUGCAUAGCUCGGGCUCCCGUGCAGCUUCUUCGCUUCCUCUCAAGAUCCUAUCCCAUGUCAUCCAGAUCCAUCUCCAAGCUUCCCACAAUUUCUCUGACAAUCAAACACCCAUAAGGAUAAAACGUGCCAGCAUAAGCUGUUUCCUGAACCAACAUCUAUUCUGACUGUACUUUGCCAGCUGUCAACUAUUUCCAAUAUUAUCCAUGAAUAUGGCUGAAAUUUAUUUCUCUAACUCUACUUUGCCUCACUCUCAUUGCUCCUGCAAUGUAUGACUACUUAAAAUCUUCUCUCAUGCUCUCUGGUUUCUUUCUGGCAUACCUUUGCUUCUGCAGUGUCCUCUACCUGGAUAAUAUUUGUGUGGCACUCUGUGAGCCUACCUUCUGAAAUCAACCCCCAUUCCUGAUUCCUCACCAACUCCCAUACUGAGAGCUCAGUCAUUCAUGCAUUCAUUUUAGUGCACACAUGCUUGCCAAGCUCAUAGUAGGCAUCAGGCGUCAUGUGGGGUGCUGGUGAAACAGUUGUGAGCAAGACAAACACAAUUAAAUUCUUCCAAGAAAAAUUCCGGGCUCCCCACACUGGAAUAGGUUUUCUUUCUCUGAUAUCCCUUUAUAUUAUCUGAGUAUAUUUAUCCCUCAUCUACCUUAUGUAAUAUCAUUAUCUGUUCAUGUUUGAGUCCUAUUCAAUAGAUCUUGAGUGCUUUAAGCUGAGAACAUUCAUUAUUCAGCUUUGUUAGAAAAGAUGACCAUAUAAAAUUGCACAGUUUUUUUUUUUUUUUUGAUAGGCAGAGUGGACAGUGAGAGAGAGAGACAGAGAGAGAAAGGUCUUCCUUUGCCGUUGGUUCACCCUCCAAUGGCCGCCACUGCAGCCGGCGCACCGCGCUGAUCCGAUGGCAGGAGCCAGGAUCCAGGUGCUUUUCCUGGUCUCCCAUGGGGUGCAGGGCCCAAGCACCUGGGCCAUCCUCCACUGCACUCCCUGGCCAUAGCAGAGAGCUGGCCUGGAAGAGGGGCAACCGGGACAGAAUCCGGCGCCCCGACCGGGACUAGAACCCGGUGUGCCGGCGCCGCAAGGCGGAGGAUUAGCCUAUUGAGCCACGGCGCCGGCUUAAAAUUGCACAGUUUUAACCAUCAACAGUAUAAACCUUUUAGAAAGUAAGAACUUUAAUGAAUGGGAAUUUAAAAAUAUGUAUCUUACAAGAGCAAAGCUUUUAAUAUAUCUCGUCUUAUAGUUGCCAAAUUUCUGGUAUUUUCUAUGGCAAUUCUAAUUCAAGCCAUUCUCAUCUCUUCCAUCAUCAGAAUAUGGAACUUAUAUAGUAUAUUGAUUUUCAUUUCUGAAAACAUGGUUCUGUCUCAUAUAUCCCAACUUCUUCUGAGGGACUUCACAAAUCUUCCCAUUGUUUAAAUGUUACUUUUUCUGGCCCAUGCUUGAUAUUAAUCAGUUUUUUAAAUACUUUAGACUUCAGUUCCUUAAGUAUAAAAAUGGGGAUGGCAAUGCUAACUUCAAAGUUAACAGUGAGUAUUAAAUAGUGUGUAAAGCAUCAGUCUUACUACCUGGCACACAAGUAUUGUUAAAUAAAUGUUUAGUUCCUUCCUGCAUGCUCAGCAGUUAAAUUACUUUUCCAAAACAUAUUAAACCAAUCAGUAAGUUAUUUGCAUGUAUUUACUUUGGCUGGCACUGCAAAAACAGUGGAUACAGAUGAGCACAUUAAGGUCCUUACAGUCUUACUACCAAGACAGUUUAGAGGGCAAAUAAAUGCUGAUCUGGGUGGAAUUACAGAGAGUCCCAAACAGAAUUUAGAAGAGAAAUAAGAACCAGUGAGAUUUCUCUGCAUUAGGAAAACAUGGUACUAGAAUUCAAUGGAAAGCUAUGUGAUAGCACUCCAGGAAAAGAAUGGCUUUCAUUUCAUGUUCCUCCUGAAAUAUUCAGCUAUGAUGGGAAGGAUGAUGAGACUCAGAUCAGGUCCUGAGAUCAAGAGUAAAUUGAGUGGCUCACUAGGCUAAUCCUCCGCCUUGCGGCGCCGGCACACUGGGUUCUAGUCCCGGUCGGGGCACCAGAUUCUGUCCCGGUUGCCCCUCUUCCAGGCCAGCUCUCUGCUGUGACCAGGGAGUGCAGUGGAGGAUGGCCCAGGUACUUGGGCCCUGCACCCCAUGGGAGAUCAGGAGAAGCACCUGGCUCCUGCCAUUGGAUCAGCGCGCCGGCUGCGGCAGCCAUUGGAGGGUGAACCAACAGCAAAGGAAGACCUUUCUCUCUCUGUCUCUCUCUCUCACUGUCCACUCUGCCUGUCAAAAAAAAAAAUGAGUAAAUUGAAAGUAUGCCACUGUAAAAAUUAAAAGAAAAAUAAGAAAGGAAGGAAGAGGAAAGGUGGGAGGGAGGGGAGACGUAGGGUAGGAAGUAUCAUUAUGCUGUUAAAACUGUAUACAUGAAAUAUAUGAAACCCGUUCUCUUUAUAUGAAUACAAAAUUAUAAAAAAAGAAUGCUUGAUUGAUUCUGGAAUGGGUUUCCAUAAGAGUGAGGCAGUCUAUUUGCUAAGUGUGCCCCAGAGCCUCACCGAAUGGUGGAAAAAGAAAACUGUUCUUAGCUGUCCCCAUCAGAGGUUCUUCCUUCUUUUUUUCACUUUUGAUUUGCCCUGAGUGACUUUUAAAUCUCCUCCCUGUCUGACAGGCCUUGCUGCACUCUGGAAGCUGGGCAAGCUCAUCACCACAGUUCUUAGAACUCAGGAAAGCUGAGAGUUCUGACUGGUGAAGAGCUAGGUCCCAUGAGUGUGUCCUGGCCUCUUGGGAAGCACCAUUGUAAAGUAUCUGACUACCCUUGUUCCAAACUCAUCGCAUUGUGAACCACAGUGGCAAAGAAUAUUACUCCGAAGAAGGUUUCUCAGUGGUCCCUUGGUGGAAUAAACUGGAUUAUGGGAGACAGGCCUAGAACAGGGAGUAUUCUGCCUUCUCCCGUCUUUCCUGGCCUUUGCCAUGGUCUCAGGAAGCCUUUGUGAGGAGCACUGGGAGGGACCGUAGGGUUACCUAGCUCUGAGCCAUUGCGGUAAGGGAAGAAUCUAAACAAGCCUUUUUAAACAGUUCUAGAAGAUUUUCUAUUUCGAUAUCUCUAAAAGACAUUUAUGGUGAGAAAGCCUAGCAGAAAAUGAGGUCACAGACCUUGUUGUAUGACUUCGCUAAGGAAUUAAUUGACUUGUGUAUGUGUGUCCUAUUGUAGGGUCUAUGACACAUCAGCUGCAGAGGGUACUUUGUCUCCUCUUAGAUGGCAAUUGGGAAACAACUUAUUCAACAUACUAUAAAGCAUCUAAUUGUGGCCUAUUACACAGCACUGUUCCUAAAGCAAACCCAUAAGCGGGAAUGGUCAUUCCCCCAAAAAUAGUAAAAGAAGAGGAAAAAGCAAAAGUGAAAUUGCCAUGCUAUGGGAAUUGACAGAAAAAAAUGUCUGAUGUGGCACCAGGAGGUAUGUUUGAGAAUGAGAAAGCACAAGUUUAGGGGGUGGAUAUUGGGGUAGGUUUACAUUCCAGACAGAGGAGCAGCUCAUGUGAGGAUGUGGGUGUUUGAUGGGGCCCCACUUGCCUGGAAAGCCUGGAGCUACAGCAGGGGCACUGUGAGAGAGGCAUAUUCCAAGGCACAGGCUGAUCAUAGAUAAUCAGAAAUCUAGAAGACAUGCCUGUUUUGUCAUAGUGGUAGACAACUCUGUUCUGUUCUGCUUGCCUCGCUGCAUUCCUCAUAUCAGCAGUGCUUUCAACAUUAUGACGACAGCUGCCUAGUAAUCACUGUCUUGUCUUUUAGUGACAGCAACCUAAUUUCCCCUGGAGGAUAAUCCGGUUCACACUCUCAUCCCAUGUGGUCUGAGCACAGCUGAACCCAUCUCCUGAUUCAGGAAGUAUGCUUGUGACCCAGAACCAGCCAAUCAGAGUGUGACAUUUUCUGACCGUUAUCCUGGGUUUACAAAUCUGCCUAUUUCUCAAACUGGAUUGUUUAAGUCCCAAUGCUAGGAGUCUUGCUAUGUUCAUGGAUCAAAGGGUUUGCCAUAAAUCAUACCACCCCCAUUCCACUGGGUAGGUGAACUGAAGUUGUAAGCCUGGAGCCUCUCUGAAUCGUGUUUGCCUUGACUUGAAGUACUGGCCUGAGAAGCUACCAAUGUUAAGGGCAACAAAGCUGACAGAGAAAGACAAUUAGGGAUACUUUUGGAGUACCUAGACCUAGCAAUGUUUGAAGCUACUUCAGCCCUCUGUUUUUCAGUAACAUAAAACAAUAAAUCUCUUUUGCAAUUAGAUGUGGAUUACUAGCACAUAAAGUGGCUUCUGAUUCCCUAACUCCCUAUCACUCCAAUGACUCACGGUGUCUUGUCGCAUUUGUUAAAUUGAUUUGCCUCAAGAACCUGAGUCUCAGAAAUCAUUAAGUGCUCCAAGGAGGACAAUUACUCAAAUAGGAAAUAUUGGCUCAUCAUGGCUCCAAGUAACCUUAACUGCUUUGACUUCCCAUUCUGCAUCUGCUUUUUAAUAAAUGUUUUCCAGAGACAUUCAUAAAGCAGGACAAUUGUCCAACUCAGAGGCUAAGGACUGAAGCUUAAAAUGACAAGGUUUCCUGAUGCAUUGCAUCAACAUCAUGGCAACUGUAGGUAUCUUGGUGCUUCUACUGUGCCCCAUUGGUUUUCUCUGGUCCUUAAUUUACCCUUUCUAAUUUCCUUGCCCUGCUUCCAAGAAAGACUGGUCUUGCUGGAGUACCUCGCCCACUGGCUGACAGUGGUUAUCACUCAAGACUGCUUAACCUCAGGAGCUAUAAAUGUGAAGAGUAUUCAAAAUCCAAUAGAUUUCAGUUCAAGUCGAGUUUCUCAAAUAUUCACCAUCUGACUUGGGACAAUAACAGCCUCGAUGAGCUUCAGUUUCCACCCCUGUGACAUGGAGCCCAUAAUCACUACAACCCAGGAGGUUUGUCAUUUGGAUUAAACACAAGUUAAACGGCAAUGACAAGUCACCAGGUUCAUUAUGCCAGUUUGUCAUAAUCUGAUUUCUACUUACUUUUGCAAUCUCUUCAUCAUCCUCUCUCCAGGCCCAUGAAAACUCAGUUCCAACCACAUGGACUGUCUCCACACCUGAGCCCCAUCAUUGUGACUGGAGGUAUUGUUCUCUUAACUGGAAUGUCCUUCACUCAUCUUCAAGACCCAGUCAAAUUUUAUUUCUUCUAUGAAUCCUCCUUUUACUAGAUUAAUUCCUACUCUUUGAUCUCCUAGAACAUUUAUGGUGGAAAGAUAUCAGUUUACUAUCCUGUAUUGGGCACUUGCUUUCUUUUGUAUCUUGUGUGAGGGUACUUCAAAAGUUUGUGAGAAAAUGGAAUUGAAAGAUAAACUUGCUCAAAAGAUAAACUUUUGAAAUCCACACAUAGUUUUUUUCAUAAUACACAUUUUAUAUGAACUUUUGGAAGACCUUUCAUAUCGCCAACUGAAUUUUGUCUAAACUUUGUCCCGUCCCCCAUCAUUGUCUUACACAUGAAGCUCAAUAAAUACUUGCUAAGUGCUUUAUUUUCCCUCAAUCAUGUGUUAUUUGGUAAGACUGAAAUUCUAUUAAGCAAAUUUAAAGAGAGAACCUAACUCCUCAGCUCCAUAACCCCCCACAAAAGGCUGUACAGCUUGAAUUAAAGCCUGUCUUCUGCUUUUGAAUUUGCAAUUGGAAACAUAUGGUGUUUUGGAAGGAAGCCAUUUUUUCCUUUUUUCCUUUUUUUCUCUCUAAAGAAACCUUUAAAACCUCACUAAAUAUAUCAAGAAACAGCAAUGAAAAUGUCAAGAAAUUAUAAUAUUGCUUAUUGCAAAACACACACACACACACACACACAUAUAUACCACUGCCGGUGUGUUUACAAAGUUCCAAGUUGAAAAAACAAGGGCUAAUUUUAGACUUUGGUUUUUUUCCUUCAAGUCAUAAUAAAAAAAGUAUAUAAACAUCAACUGAAACACCAGUGCACAAAACCUCUUAGUCAUACCCACCAGGCACUUUCAAAAACCAAUUUUCUUGAGAAAGGAUUCUAAUUCCUAACUCCCUGAAUCAUGAACCCUGCUGCCCUGAUGGACAGAAGGAACUGAAAGCUCUAGCACUGGAGGCCUGUGGUCCGGGCUGGGUGAGCUAGUCAAAAGCAGGGGCCAUGUCAUGUACUUGAAGUUUUUUUUUCUAACAAAUUCCCCAGCUUCUUACACAUUGUAGUUCUGAAGACACCUUCUCAGUCCUUAAUGGAGAACAGAGUGUACAACAACCCCCAGUUCUCACUGACAGUGAUGCCUUUUUUUUUUUUAACUUCCCAAUAAUCAUCGCUGCAAUCGGUUUUGAAUCAUGCACUGAAAUUUUGACUUCACUUGGGAAUUUCCCAACCAGUGAAAUUGAGUGCUAACAAAGCUCUGAUUUUCUACGCACUCUCUGAUAUUAAUAGCUCAGCUGGCAUUGCAGAAAACAGAGUGCUGGGGCGAGGGGGAACAGUUCUUGAGUAUCUCUUACUUUCUCCAGGAGAAAUUCCUGAAUCCUGGACUACCAGUGUCCCCGAAGCCGAGCUGCCUCCUCCACAAUCAUCUCAGAACACUGACAUCACCAGUGCCUGACCCUUUACUCCCUCCUUUCUCUGCUUCCUUGUAAACAUCAGAAAACAUCUUGAAGCCAAGGCAAACAAGCUUCAAAAAGAUGUAUGUCACAUGAUCACUGGCCCUUUAUAUCUCCACUGAAACAUGGCUUUGUAAACUGUAGGCACCGAGGCUUCAGUGAUAAGAGGGCUCCAGCACUAGUCAAACCAUCUGUCAAGAGCCAGUCGGAAUCUCAGGUUCAUUGUGAGCCCCUCCUUAACCGUUUUAGUCCUCUGGGAACCUCCCUUCCUUGCGGCCCUGUUGGAAAAUGCGUUGGUUACACCAGUUUUUGUUUUUCACCAUGAACUUUAUUUUUCAAAUAAAAUAAAAUUUUGCUUGCCAGCUUUUUUACUGCUGGUAUCUCUUCUAAUAUUAGUGCGUGGUGUUUAAGAGAACCCUGGAGUCAGGCAGCCUGGAUUCCGCUGUGGCUCUAUCCCUUCCUAGACAGGUGACAUUCAGGUUUCCUAACCUCUUUAUACCUCACUUUCCCUGUUGGUAAAAUGAAGAUAAUAAUUGCCUCUACCUCAUAGAAUAGAAUAAGUAUGAAGGAGUUCAUGGAUGUACAUUGCAUGGGACAGACCUGGGAGACAGUGAACACCUAAUAAUGUGAUAUGCUGACCCCUUCAAUAGAAAUCUAACAAAUAUCUAUUGAGCAUCUACUAAAUUUCAAGGAGCAACUUACAUGCUAGUAAUACAGGAGAAAGCAAGAUUGACAAGCUUACCUCUCAUGGAAUUUAAUGUCUAGACAGAGAUACGUGGAGUAAAUAAGCUAAAAAUAUAGUAAAACUUAGGAAACAGAACAAAAUAAGAUAGGUUAUGAUUUCAGCUAACUUCUCCUGAACUGCCUCAUCUAUAAAAUGGGUGGACUAAACCUUCCUGCGUGAGUGUUUAAUGAGGGUUAAAUGAGUUAUUAUAAGUGAAACAUUUAGUACAGUAACUGGUAGACUUCAUGUAAAUAAUCAUAUCUUCCAAAAUCUGUUUAUGCAAAUGUAAACAUCUGUUUGACCUAAAGAGGGAUUAAUUUCUAAAAUGUGCAUUUGAUAGCAAAUGUGAAUAUGUUUCCUUUUUGGCCUAACUCUGGGCAGGAAACAACUUUGUUAAGUUGGGCACGUUGUAAUUGUGGUAUAUCUGUAUAAACUUACUCAUAACAUGUUUUGUUUUCUUUGGUGGUUUAAAAAUAUUCAGAAGAAGAGGGCCUGACCCAUCAAAGAAGUUAGGUUACCAACUGCAAGUUACCAACUGAGACAAAUUUUGAGUGAGUGAUUCAACAGAAAGAAGACAUCAGGGACUACUACUACACACCUCCAUUAAGGGGCAGGCUUAAGAGGUAGAAACAGGGUUUCAAGGUGGCUUUGGAGAGAAAUUAGGAAUUUGUGUUCUGGGUAACCUGCUGUGAUUAGGGUGUGGAUAAGAAAUUUUCUUGUGGCCGGCUCUGUAGCAUAGUAGGUUAAGCUUCUGCCUGUAGCGCUGGCAUCCGGCAUGAGCACUGGUUUGGGUCCCGGCUUCUUCUCUUCUGAUCCAGCUCUCUGCUUGUUGCCUGGGAAAACAGUGCAAGAUGGCCCAUGUGAUUGGGCCCCUACACCCACGUGGGAGACCCAGAGUUGGAAUGUUUUGUAAAAUGCAGAUUUCUGGGUUCCACUCAGAACUCUGACAGUGGAGUUGGGGUCUGGCAAUCUAUUUUUCAUAAGCAUACUAACUAGCUUUUUAAAAGACACAUUAAAGUUUGAGAUCCAAAACAAUAGAAAUUGUCAGAUAUUAGAGUGAAUUGGAAAAAAAACUCAGCAGAAGAAAGUACAGGAGUAAGACAGCUUGGCAUAAUUGUUUCCUUGCUUCUAGACUUUAGAAGUUUAUUCAUCAUAGAUGUUCUCAGGUCAAUCCUUUAACUAGAGUGUGUUUAUAAUCUGUUUCAAAGAACGUAUUCCUUUUAGAUAUGUCCAUCUGUACCCUAGAACCUGAUGGAGUCUAUUCUAGUAUGGAUUGAAGGGAGUCACUAAAUGAGGAGGCUCCAAUUAAAGGCAGGAAUUUAAGGUUGGAAAGAGUUUAGCCCCAGUCUGACACAGAGAAAAGAGAGAAGGCUUUCCAUCUCCUAAUGGAAAACAAAUCAAAACAAAAACCAAGACACAAGAACAAGAACAAAGCAUCUCUUAAAAGCAGCUGCUGAAGGUACGUCCCCUUUGACUGGAAUCCCCCAAUUUCCCCAUGCCCUAGCCUUUCAGUUGCAAGAUGAAAAUGUUCUAGAGACUUGAUGUGCAGCAUGGGGAAUGUUAGUAAUGCAGUAUAGACUGGAACUUUUCUGAGAGUAGAUCUUAGGCGCUCUCCCCACCCUACCCCCAACACAAACAAAUGACAACUGUGAGGUGAUGGAUAUGUUAAUUUAUGGUAAACAUUUCACAGUAUAUAUAGAUGGUUGUGAAAGCAUCAUCUUGUGUAUCUUAAAUAUAUGCAAUUUUUAUCAAUUAUAUUUCAGUAAAGCUGGGGAGAAACAUUACUAAAAAUGGGUAAUAAAAAUCCAUCCACAUUCUUUAAAAAUAAUGAUUAAAAUCAUAAUAAUAAAAGUAGCUGCUAACAGGCAUACUUAAGGAUGACCCUGGACUUCCAUGUGUCUCUGUGAUCUUGAUUCUGAGAAAAGAGUAGGCAUUCUUCAUUAGCCCCUGUGUUUGCUGAGGCAGGGUUAAGUUCAGUCCUUCUUGGGCUCUGGUUCUGUGGUGGACAUGCAGAUGAACCACUCUUAUUCUUCCAUAGGAAUCACUGACUUACUCCUUCAACUGCUGAAAGUAUACCCGGCUGAGAGACCCAGCACCCCCUAGGGGGAUCAUCCCUGCCUCAAGAGAGCUGUCUUCCCAAAGUUAUGUCCUUCUCCAGAGCAGCUCACAGCCAAUGACGGAUCCAAGUGGGAACAUGGGCAUGGCCCCUUUGCCUUAUAACCAUAGACAUUUAUUUCUCACGUUCUGAAGGCUGGAAAAUCCAGAGCAAGGCACCAGGAGAUCCAGUUUUUUGUGAGGGCCUGCUUUCUGGUUUACAUACAGUACCUUCUGCCAUAUCCUCUCAAGACCACUCUUUGAGGCUCUUCUCUAAGAGAGCUAAUCCUAUUCCUGAAGACUUCAUCCUCAAGACCCAACCAUCUGACCAAGACUCCACUGUGUAACAUCAUCACACUGGUAAUGAAAUUUCCAUGUUCUUGUGAAGGAAAAAGAAGCUUUGUAAAAUGCCGACGGUUUUAACAUCCCGAAGUGAAUCUCAGAACUGCGUAUUGCUGUUGGCAAAGCAGAAGGAUGUGCUCAGUCACAAGAAAAUGGAGCAUUUUUUGCAUGAAAAAUUGAUCACCUGCUCAGUCCCCCUUUUCACUCUCCCCUUCACCCCAGCGUUGGACAGUCACGAUGUUGCAUGGAUGUUCUAAGAUUCUUUUUGAACAUUCUCUGUUUCAAGAACUUCCUUGAACCAUUCAUCAGGGGUGACUCAAGGAACACACCACCUGAGAAAUGACUCUCUAUGUGAAAAGGACCCAGAAAGAAUGUGUCAGGCAGAGAGAACUGGGAUCUAUGUCAUUUGUGAGAUAUGCUUCCCAAAAGCAUGGACUGUGACCAUCAGGGAGUUAAGCUUAGCUGCCUUGCCAUGAAUUGUCUCAUGCUGUUGGCAUCCCACUGACUUUCUAUCACAUUUUCCCUACACCAACCUUCAUGUCACUUUCUGUUCUGUAAAAAAAUGAAGGGGUUCUAUUGGAGGAGCUACAUGAUGCAUUCCAGGUUUAAAAGUCUAUGGGUCAUCCAUACUAACUUAAAUCCUUGAAAUUUCCUACUUUUUUAAGUACUUCCAAAUCACAGGUGAAUGGUGCCUGAAGUUGAAAACUAAGCUGAGUCAAUAUCCAUUGUAUCACAGCCUUCAGCUAUCUGAGGCCCCUAACUACAGGGAAGGAAAGCACACCCUCCAGAGUAUAUGAAACCUGGGAAAGCACAUGGUACCUAACCAAGAAGGGGCGUGAAGAACCCUGAAGAAAAGGCAGUGUCAUUGCUUAUAAGCAAAAAGGUCACUCAGAAAAUACCACAUAAAGAAGUGGACUAAUACUAACAUAUUUAAAGGUUCAUCAUAGCACAUCUCUUUUGAUAAUUGACCAAAAUGCUGCACAACUACCAGUAAAACUUCUCCCCUUGAUCAAGCCCAUUUCCUCUCAUGUAAUCAGCAAGAAGAGAGAAGCACAGAUUCAUCAGCGCACUUAUUCUAACCAUUCAGAAUUUCAGAGUUGAUAAAUGCAAUUUUCCUGGGGCUGUCGAUUUUCUGUAAUUUAAAUGUUAAGCCCUUUCUUCACACACAGCUAAAAUUCACUGCAUUCCCACUCGGCACAUUCUCACUCAUUUUGAUACUGUCAUCUUUCUGAUCUGUGACUAGCCAUUGCACUUAAUUAACCAAUGGAAAACAAGAGGACCUUUUCACACCCAGAAGCUAGAGUGUGAUGACUCCUGGAGAGAGGAAUUAAUCAGCACCUGAGUUCAGCCUAAUCAGCUGUUAGAGGAAGACCCAUCACUCUGAUGACCCCAAUGCUGCCACAAGGAGAGAUUAGAGAUUAUUACUAAUUUACAACUAAAUGGCUAACUGUGAAGUCACCAGGUUGUGCCUUCAGCCACAACCAUCCCUGACAAUGUUACAGGAAAAAAAAAAAAAAAAGACAUUCAAUUUCUCUUUACUUUUGGUAAAUACUGAUUGCAUGACUACAAUGUGCCAGGUGCUGCACCAAGCACCAGACAGAAAAUGAUGAAUAAAACAGAACCCCUGCGCUGGAUGAUAGGCUGUGAGGGAGACAGGGAGGAAGCAAGGGUCACAGAUAUGCAUGUGCGUGUACCAGAGGGUUAGCUCAAAGCAAGUUAGAUGGGGAGGGAAGGUCAGAAAGUAAUGACUCAGUCAAGGUCUGAAGGAGGAGGAGUUCGUUAAGCAAAACAGGAAGGGUUUUCCUAGAAGGUGAAACCACCUGUACAAAGGCCCUGUGGUGGUGUGAUAAUAAGAGACCAGUAAGGUCCACAGGCAGCAGGGAAAAGGAGAGUAGUUUAGAAUAAGGCUGAAAAUCUACGUAGGAACCAGACCUUGGUCAUGAGUAACAAGGAGCCGUUUAAAUGCUUCAGGAGAUAGGAAGCUAUCGGAAAACUGUAAGCUAAAAUAUAACUUAAUCAUGACCUUUUAAAACUCCAGAGUCCUAACGAUUUAUGAGUCUCCAGAAUACAACUUCCACCUCUUAGUGUGGCAUUAACAUCCUCUGUGCUCCCGCUACCGUCUCCUCUCCUGUGCUCUCCGUCUUGCCUCAGUAUAAAGUGGGCCCUGGAUCUUACCGUUGA